UACAGAGACUGCAAGCGUUAUUCGGAUUCACUGGGCGUAAAGCGUGCGCAGGCGGUGAUGUAAGACAGAUGUGAAAUCCCCGGGCUCAACCUGGGAACUGCAUUUGUGACUGCAUCGCUGGAGUGCGGCAGAGGGGGAUGGAAUUCCGCGUGUAGCAGUGAAAUGCGUAGAUAUGCGGAGGAACACCGAUGGCGAAGGCAAUCCCCUGGGCCUGCACUGACGCUGAGGAGCGAAAGCGUGGGGAGCAAACAGG
rnacentral:rRNA from 1 species